CAGCAGCCGCGGUAAUACGAAGGGUGCAAGCGUUAAUCGGAAUUACUGGGCGUAAAGCGUGCGUAGGCGGUUUGUUAAGUCUGCUGUGAAAUCCCCGGGCUCAACCUGGGAAUGGCAGUGGAUACUGGCAAGCUAGAGUGUGUCAGAGGAUGGUGGAAUUCCCGGUGUAGCGGUGAAAUGCGUAGAGAUCGGGAGGAACAUCAGUGGCGAAGGCGGCCAUCUGGGACAACACUGUCGCUGAGGCACGAAAGCGUGGGGAGCAAACAGGAUUAGAUACCCCCGUAGUCCCUGUCUCUUAUAC
rnacentral:rRNA from 1 species